AGGAGGGGCGGUACGACAAUGCUCGCAGCCAGGUGGUGGCACGCCCAUGCUCCGGCCAUCAGUGGUCAGCGUGUUGUGUGUCGCCUCCUUCCAUGGUAUCGUGGACUCAAACGCACAGCUGGAGCUAGUCUCCGGCAGUUACUAUCGUCAGAAAGAAAUUUUUGUCCAAAUGCUGACCGAGGGUCGAUGACUUUGACCAUGGGAGUCGUCGUAGCUCUCCAUCAAAAGGAAUCUUCCGCGCAGGAGCUAAGCAAGCAGUGAACUUACAACCUUCUCUGCGCAUGUAUAUAUAAACUACUGAGGUUAUGCUCCUAACGGAAGGCAAACUGGCCGCUUGCACAAGUCUGUGGCACUCUUCAUCUCCUGCCAUGGCACGUUCCUUGGCAAUCCUCGUUAUCAUAUUCAUAUGCUGCUCCGUGCCAUGCUCAAUGGCCAAACAAGUUCAUCUAGAUGGAAGCCGUCCGAGUUUUGGUCCUCCGUCACCGCAGGGUGCGAACUCGCAUGGCUGUGUUAUUAAAUGCAAUAACGGGCGUCCAGACACCACAUCUCCGACGACGGCAGCCCUUACACCGCACCGCAAGACCCUGCAGCAGGCUAUUCUAGAUUGAUAUGUGUAUAUAUGACACAUGCAAGUGUUCCGCUAGAGUCUUGGAAAGUUUACCAUUGACUAUUGCGUACACUUUUUGUCAGGGGUGUCUGGAAAUGAUUACGAAGAUGGUGUAUGCCAGUAAAUAAAUAUGAGGAUGGUUGUACUGUUUUUAUAUAUUAUAUAAUUGUGAACUCUAA